GAGAACGCAGCGAAAUGCGAUACGUAAUGUGAAUUGCAAAUUCAGUGAAUCAUCGAGUCUUUGAACGCACAUUGCGCCCCCUGGUAUUCCGGGGGGCAUGCCUGUCCGAGCGUCAUUUCUGCCCUCAAGCACGGCUUGUGUGUUGGGCCCCGUCCUCCGAUUCCGGGGGACGGGCCCGAAAGGCAGCGGCGGCACCGAGUCCGGUCCUCGAGCGUAUGGGGCUUUGUCACCCGCUCUGUAGGCCCGGCCGGCGCUUGCCGAUCAACCCAAAUUUUUAUCCAGGUUGACCUCGGAUCAGGUAGGGAUACCCGCUGAACUUAAGCAUAUCAAUAAGCGGAGGAA
rnacentral:rRNA from 1 species